CUAGCCCUGAAAAGCUCUGCUCCAAAAUUAAGAGUUUUUGAUGGUUUCUUUACAGUAGAAGCUAAAAUUGCGACUACAGUGACAGAAAAGGGAAUUUCACCAUGAUGUGACUGUGAACACACAGAGAACUCUAAAGAGAAUUCCACAUCCCAAAGUAGAGCAGAUAUAAUUGUGAUAAUGCUCACUGUGACAUUUGACUUCUUGGUACCCAACUCCCAAACUGCAACCUGCAACCUUCUGUUACAAAGCAUGGGAUGAGCUGGGUAAUCCAGCUUAAAACAGAAUUCCAAUCAGCCUGCAAAAAUGCUGAAAGAAAGGUUUAACUUUUGUGAUGUCCUUUACCAGGAUUUAGACCCAUAAGUUCUGGUAAUGUAAAGGUGCUCAGGUCAGACAAUGACCCACAAAAGCUUCUAGAGGCAACUAAGAAUUCUUUUUUUAAAGAACAAGAGUGAGGCUCUUCCCUGAAAACCCAGUAAAAAUAGAAGGUAACAGCAGAACCCCUUUCUUCACAGAAUCCUUUAGGAUUCUUUAGAACAGGAAUAGUUCAAAAGUUAGAGCCAGGUGCUGCUGCUAUUUCACACUCACUGGGAGAGACAAAAAUAUGAUUUGACACACUUAAGCCCCUGCAUCUCCAUCCUUUAAAGCAGUCCCUUAACAACCUGAUGUCCAGCUGUCAGUGCCUUCUGGGAAAUGAGAUGCAGCCUGGAAAACCUUGAGAUUGAGAAAAGUACCUGCUGCUAUAAAAUGGGGAGAACAGCUUCUCUUCUUCCUUCUCUCUGUAAACCAAAGUGGCCACAGCUGCUUGUUUUUGCAGAGCUGAGUUCUUCUGAAACAUUUCCCAUGCCACUUUGAUAAAGAAAUACUCUGGGGUCCUGCUAGGCCUCUUUAUUCCUCAAGUAACACAUUGUUCCUUUUUUGGGGCUCCUUUGUCCAGACAAACUCGAGAUUUUUCUUUUCCAGUGCCCAAUUUUCCACAAUGCCCACCCAGAGGGCUGCUAUGCUGGCUUAGGAGAAAAGACAGGAAAUAAACCUCCCUCUGAUUAGGAAAAAGUGACCUGUUCUACUUUAAAACUACAACACAUUGGCAAAGCGACAGCAGAAAGGCAAAUCCAAGUUUUAAUUGCUCUGGCAAAGAAAGGAACACAAGGCCUUCUCCAGGGAUGUCAGUCAUGGCAGUUAAUUAGUUCAAAUGGGAAGAACUAAUAGACCUUUCAGGGGGAAAAAGCAUUUUUGUGUGGCGGCAAAAGAGCACAUGUGAGACUCACCAGGGUCUGUAAGCAGCGGAAUUUCUCUGUUUGCAGUACAUUUGCUGCCAUAGUUUGAAAUAAGCAGCACAGCUGAUGACUGGGAGUCUGAUGCAAUGUUCUUACACCAAAUGUUAAAGCCACUUGCCAAGUUUUUCUUUCCCAAAGCACCUUCUACCAGUAAAAUGCCUAUUUCAAUCGUCGGGGGCGGGAGGAAAAUCUUUGUCUGCACUAUGAUUUUUCUUACAAUCCUAAAUGGAAUGCUGGAGAAGGCAAAGCAUGGCAGCACUACAAGAUGCUCGGUUUUUCUUUUUUUUUUGCUUAUAAAUGUACAUCCCACUUGUAGCCUAGCAACAAAAGCAGCAGCCUGGGUGAGAUGAGCCUGCUGCUGGGGCUCUCUCCUCAAAACAGGAGCCAUCUUUGGCGUGUAACUUGACCAGAGAUUUCAUCAUUCUGCAUUAAAGCCAGUUCCAGAUGUUAGAGGUCUCUGCAGCCAGCUCAGCUCUGUCAGCUUUGCUUUGCCACCUCCUCUCCUGCUGCAUGAGGCACGUCCAGAGAUGCUGCACGUGUUCAACUCAACUUCACAUUAAGGAAAACAAACCUCCUUUGCCAGCCAAGGUGUCUGACCUUGGAGUUAUUUGGCGUGUUCCUCCCCUGGAAAUGAUGAUCCUGCAGCAGGGAGGCUCGUCUCUUGCAGGCCUGGGAUCUGUGCGGCUGUCACGCAAUCCCUGUGACACAGACAGCCCUGCUCAGGGGACAGACUGCUCAGGGACAGCAAUUCAAAGCUGCUGGCACCCAGUAAGGACGUUCUGGAUGCAGCUGUGGAGGAGGAAACUGGCACAGGGACAAAUGGUGACCUCCCUGCUGUCCUUUUCCUCCUUUCUGUUAUUCCCAGGGAUGGGUGGGCUGCUGUGACAGUAGAAACACUUUGGAAUUUCAAACCUUCUAGUUUGUUUUCUUUACUUCCCCUGAGGUUCACAUCAGUCCUGUGCCACCUGCUCACUCAUGCCCAGGGUCUGCUAAUUCCCGGUGUCCUGGGUGGGCACAGGGGGAGCACCGUGAUGGGAAUCCUUGGGAUUGGCAGGGCCACAACUGGGGUGGUACCGGCUGGGGGCCGGGGCAGGCUGAGCCAUCCCAAAUCCCAAAUCCCAUCCCAUCCCAUCCCAAAUCCCAUCCCAUCCCCUGGGAGCAGUGGGACACUGCAGACACCACGGUGCUGCAGCUCCUUUACAGCACACAAAUGGAGCUCAUUCAGCUCUUCUGUGGACCAGAAUAACACAGAGACAGACUGCAAAUGCCAUCUAUAGCCCAGCCCAGCUCCUCUGUUGAAAUUCCAGUUGUAAGGUCCCUGCUCUGUCCACAGGUCUCAUCCCUGGAGGAGUGGCAGCUGUGCAAACAGAGCAAUCCUGGUCUUCAGCUCUUUGGAUACAGGACUGACCUCCCUCUCCCUGCUCAUUGCAGGAUACUGAAUGGGAAUUUCUUAUUAAAAAACUGUGACUCUACCCAAGUAUCGAUGUUUGUGGAGUUGCACUUACUGAUGAAAGCUUUGCUGUUGAUACUCAACUUCUAUGAAAUUAUAUAUAUAU